rnacentral:rRNA from 1 species
CGCACGGGUGAGUAACGCGUAAGAACUUGCCCUUUAGACUGGGAUAACAGAGGGAAACUUCUGAUAAUACUGGAUAAGUUAGUAUAUCGCAUGAUAUGCAAAUGAAAGCUACGGCACUAAAGGAGAGCUUUGCGUCCUAUUAGCUAGUUGGUAAGGUAAGAGCUUACCAAGGCGAUGAUAGGUAGCCGGCCUGAGAGGGUGGACGGCCACAAGGGGACUGAGAUACGGCCCUUACUCCUACGGGAGGCAGCAGCC